UGUGCCUAUAGUAGGAUCAUUUCUAUAGUUUACGUCCCUCUUUGUCUCUUCUAAAGAGCCACUGAAUCCAACUUGGUUGAUGAGGUAUAUACCUUUGUGCCCUAGAGUGAGAUUAAACUUUCAUUUAGCUUGUCUAUAAUCCUUUGCGGUUUAGUCAUCUAUUCUUUGAAGUUUUUGCCUUUUUUGUUUAUUCCUGAUUAUUAUCCUUGUGAUAUUGUCAUGGAUGUCUUAUAAAAGGAGCGAUGAUCUCGACCCUAUCUAUGCACUUUUUCGAAAGGGAUAGAUGUGGGUGGGUGCAAAU
rnacentral:snoRNA from 10 species